rnacentral:rRNA from 1 species
CCUACGGGAGACAGCAGUGAGGAAUAUUGGUCAAUGGACGAGAGUCUGAACCCGCCAAGUAGCGUGAAGGAUGACUGCCCUAUGGGUUGUAAACUUCUUUUAUAUGGGAAUAAAAUGUUCCACGUGUGGGAUUUUGUAUGUACCAUAUGAAUAAGGAUCGGCUAACUCCGUGCCAGCAGCCGCGGUAAUACGGAGGAUCCGAGCGUUAUCCGGAUUUAUUGGGUUUAAAGGGAGCGUAGGUGGAUUGUUAAGUCAGUUGUGAAAGUUUGCGGCUCAACCGUAAAAUUGCAGUUGAAACUGGCAGUCUUGAGUACAGUAGAGGUGGGCGGAAUGCGUGGUGUAGCGGUGAAAUGCAUAGAUAUCACGAAGAACUCCGAUUGCGAAGGCAGUUCACUGGACUGCAACUGACACUGAGGCUCGAAAGUGUGGGUAUCAAACAGGAGUAGAUACCCUUGUAGUC